rnacentral:rRNA from 1 species
GGUUGCGAUCAUACCAGCACUAAUGCACCGGAUCCCAUCAGAACUGCGCAGUUAAGCGUGCUUGGGCGAGAGUAGGACUAGGAUGGGUGACCCCCUGGGAAGUCCUCGUGUUGCAACCC